rnacentral:rRNA from 1 species
UACGGAGGAUCCGAGCGUUAUCCGGAUUUAUUGGGUUUAAAGGGUGCGUAGGCGGCCUAUUAAGUCAGGGGUGAAAUACGGUGGCUCAACCAUCGCAGUGCCUUUGAUACUGAUGAGCUUGAAUCCAUUUGAAGUGGGCGGAAUAAGACAAGUAGCGGUGAAAUGCAUAGAUAUGUCUUAGAACUCCGAUUGCGAAGGCAGCUCACUAAGCUGGUAUUGACGCUGAUGCACGAAAGCGUGGGGAUCGAACAGG